AGUGAACGCUGGCAGUAGGCCUAACACAUGCAAGUCGAACGGCAGCACAGUAAGAGCUUGCUCUUACGGGUGGCGAGUGGCGGACGGGUGAGGAAUACAUCGGAAUCUACUUUUUCGUGGGGGAUAACGUAGGGAAACUUACGCUAAUACCGCAUACGACCUACGGGUGAAAGCAGGGGAUCUUCGGACCUUGCGCGAUUGAAUGAGCCGAUGUCGGAUUAGCUAGUUGGCGGGGUAAAGGCCCACCAAGGCGACGAUCCGUAGCUGGUCUGAGAGGAUGAUCAGCCAAGCUGGAAUUGAGACACGGUCCAGGCUCCAACGGGAGGCAGAGGGGGAGAAUUUUGAACAGUGGGCGCAAGAGUAUUCCGGCCAUGACGGGUGGGAGAAAGAGGCCUUCGGGUUGUAAAGCCUUUUUGUGGGGAAAAAAAGGCAGCAGGUUAAACCCCCGCUGUUCUGACGGUACCAACAGAAUAAGCCCCGGCCAACUUCGU
rnacentral:rRNA from 1 species